rnacentral:rRNA from 1 species
CGCAUCUGUGCAUGCAGCAUAUCAAUAAGCGGAGGAAAAGAAACUAACAAGGAUUCCCCUAGUAACGGCGAGUGAAGCGGGAAGAGCUCAAAUUUGAAAUCUUAAAGGGUUUCCCUUUACGAAUUGUAGUUUAAAGAAGUGUUUUCUGUUGAGGUUUUGGUAAAAGUUCUUUGGAAUAGGACAUCAUAGAGGGUGAGAAUCCCGUAUUUGACCUUUACUUUCAACUUUGUGAUACACUUUCAAAGAGUCGGAUUGUUUGGGAAUGCAGUCCAAAAUGGGUGGUAAAUUUCAUCUAAAGCUAAAUAUUGGCGAGAGACCGAUAGCGAACAAGUACCGUGAGGGAAAGAUGAAAAGAACUUUGAAAAGAGAGUUAAACAGUACGUGAAAUUGUCAAGAGGGAAGCGUUUGACACCAGUGUUGUUUUUCUGAAAAUCAAUUAAAGAACUGUUUAUGCUAAGUUGUUUAGACUUUAUCAGCUAACUGUUUAGUUUUGAGCUUUUCUUUAAUGCACUUUUCAGUUAACAAGUCAACAUCAAUCUCUUUUGCUGUAAAAAAGCUUGAGGAAGGUGGCUUGAGAUUCGUCUUAAGUGUUUAUAGCCUCUUGCCUAUGCAGUCGGAGAGAUUGAGGUCUGCAGCGUAGAUCCUUCGGGGCUAAAUGCAUUUGUGCUAAGUUAUAGCAUUUUAUAGACAACUUGUUGACUAUGAUUUGUCUUGUAGCUUACUCGCUUAUGUUAUUUUACCUACGCUUAGGAUGUUGAACGCGCACAGAGUCUC